GUCCCUCUGGGGACAUCCGAUAAAAUUGGAACGAUAAAGAGAAUGUUAACAUGGUUUCUACAUAAAGAUAACACGCAUAAAUCGAGAAAUGGUCUAAAUUUUU